CCUACGGGAGGCAGCAGUGGGGAAUAUUGCACAAUGGGGGAAACCCUGAUGCAGCAACGCCGCGUGAGUGAAGAAGUCUUUCGGUAUGUAAAGCUCUAUCAGCAGGGAAGAAGAUGACGGUACCUGAUUAAGACUCCCCGUCUAACUCCGUUCCAGCAGCCGCGGUCAUACGUAGGGGGCAAGCGUUAUCCGGAUUUACUGGGUGUAACGGGGGCGCAGACGGUAGUGCAAGUCUGGAGUGAAAGCCCGGGGCACAACCCCGGAACUGCUUCGGAAACUGUGUGGCUAGAGUACGGGAGGGGCAGGCGGAAUUCCUAGUGUAGCGGUGAAAUGCGUAGAUAUUAGGAGGAACACCAGUGGCGAAGGCGGCCUGCUGGACAGUAACUGACGUUGAGGCUCGAAAGCGUGGGGAGCAAACAGGAUUAGAUACCCCUGUAGUC
rnacentral:rRNA from 1 species